AGAACGAACGCUGGCGGCAGGCCUAACACAUGCAAGUCGAACGCCCCGCAAGGGGAGUGGCAGACGGGUGAGUAACACGUGGGAACCUUCCCUAUAGUACGGAAUAGCCCAGGGAAACUUGGAGUAAUACCGUAUACGCCCGAAAGGGGAAAGAAUUUCGCUAUAGGAUGGGCCCGCGUAGGAUUAGCUAGUUGGUGAGGUAAUGGCUCACCAAGGCGACGAUCCUUAGCUGGUUUGAGAGAACGACCAGCCACACUGGGACUGAGACACGGCCCAGACUCCUACGGGAGGCAGCAGUGGGGAAUAUUGGACAAUGGGCGCAAGCCUGAUCCAGCCAUGCCGCGUGAGUGAUGAAGGCCUUAGGGUUGUAAAGCUCUUUUGCCGGGGACGAUAAUGACGGUACCCGGAGAAUAAGUCCCGGCUAACUUCGCGCCAGCAGCCGC
rnacentral:rRNA from 1 species